AGCGAACGCUGGCGGCAGGCCUAACACAUGCAAGUCGAACGAAGUCUUCGGACUUAGUGGCGGACGGGUGAGUAACACGUGGGAACGUACCUUUUGGUUCGGAACAACUCAGGGAAACUUGAGCUAAUACCGGAUGAGCCCUUAGGGGGAAAGAUUUAUCGCCGAAAGAGCGGCCCGCGUUAGAUUAGCUAGUUGGGGAGGUAAAGGCUCACCAAGGCUACGAUCUAUAGCUGGGCUGAGAGGAUGAUCAGCCACACUGGGACUGAGACACGGCCCAGACUCCUACGGGAGGCAGCAGUGGGGAAUCUUGCGCAAUGGGCGAAAGCCUGACGCAGCCAUGCCGCGUGAAUGAUGAAGGUCUUAGGAUUGUAAAAUUCUUUUACCAGGGACGAUAAUGACGGUACCUGGAGAAAAAGCCCCGGCUAACUUCGUGCCAGCCGCCGCGGUAACAC
rnacentral:rRNA from 1 species